AUAUUUUUUGUUAGGGAGCUACCAUUUGAUUUUUAUGGGGGGGCUAGGAUGAAAUUUGAAAAAAAUAGGCAGGACAGGAGUUUUGAGUAAAAAAAAAAGGCAGGAUGUGACACUUGCAAAAAAAAAAAGUCAGGACGACAAUUUAGGUAAAAAAAAGUCAGGAUAAACUAAAAAAAAAUAGGCAGGACCGAUAAGAGUGAAAAAUAAAAAGGCAGGACAGAGAUUACAGCUAAAAAAAAAAUGCAGGACAAAAUUUUUCAUCCUAGCCCCCCCAUAAAAAUCAAAUGGUAGCUCCCUAAUCC
rnacentral:lncRNA from 1 species